rnacentral:lncRNA from 1 species
CAGGGUUUUGUCGAGUAUUUUUUAUUAACAGAUAUGAGAGAAUGGAGUCUUUGCUCAAGAGCUAAAGCAUCCAGGCAAAAUCUGAAGGACCUUUGCUGUUGAUGCCUGUAAGAAAUUUUCCACCAGAGACAGCAAAACAACAAAACUGACACAGAUAAUAUUGCUAAAGGUAGAGAGGUGGGAAGGAAACAGAGCCCUGAAAAUAAAGUCUUUCACAAGUCAUUAGACCCCAACCAAGUGGCAAAAGCAUAGAAACCACUUUUUCCCACUUUUCCUUUGUGUCCCAUAUAAUACUAGGUGUAAAACUGACACCUGAACAACAGCAGAUACAUCUGCAUGCCAGUUGAUUAUCACAUGUGUUUUGCCUUUAGUGUGCUAUCAGUGGACCUGCGGUAAUAAAGCAGGAACGACUUAAGCUUUCAUAAACCUACCCUCCAGGCUUUUCUGUUUGCUUUUUCAACUUCUGCUGCCUUUUCACUGAGGUGCAGCACUGCCACUUGUAAUUCCCCCAGGGUAUGCUAGAUAAAUACAUGGCUUAUUUAAGAAGCCUUACCAUUCAUUCAGAGCAGAUGAAAGCUUCCUCCCAGCUGGAAGGUGUUUGUGGCAGCCCAGUGCCCAGCCUCCCUCCCUGCCGUUCAGAGGUUGGCGUGGAUGGGGAGACCAGUGCCUGCUGGCUCUGGUAGGGGUUUCAUGAGGCAUCUGCUGAGAUCCUUGCAUGACAGGUUGGCUGGAUGGAAGACCUGCACCUUGGGUGAAGGUACUUGGAAGAGCAGCUGUGGCUCUGUGCUUUCUCAGACACGGACAGUCCCUCCCCAGGGCUUCCCUCAGCCACCAGCUCCACCAUGAGACAUGGAGGCCAAGAAGACAUUGCCUCUUCUUCACCUGCCACUGCUCUGACUGAAGAAGGACAUUCUUGCUCCAUGCUGAAGGUGUCCAGCUAAUUCCCUGGUCCUGGGGAAGUCGGUGAAGGUCGUGUGGCAUAACCUGGGUACGGCAGUUGUGCUGCCAGGCAUAAGAUUUUUUUGUGGACUGGGUAAUGACAUGGGUCUGUCAACUCCCACACACAAAGUGCAUAGCGGGAGAGGGCACCCACUUGAUUUGCCAGGACAAUUUGGAGGAGGAAUUUCCUAUUUGUGGGAGCUAAUAGCCUUUUCCAGAAGAUGGAGUUUGCAAGGGAGGAGACAGCAAAAUUCCUGACCUAAGGAGACCAAGAGUAUUCGACUCAGAACCAGGGGAAGGUUUGGUAAACUGGCUGUAAAAAUAUCCCUUGUGUAAGCAAGUCUCUGUGUUGAAAUGAAAGUGCUAUCAAAGCCUUUCUGGCUACAUUAUUUUUUCCCCUAUAAAUUAGUACAUUUCUUCCACCUGGAUUUAACAGGAUAAAACUUCCAGCUCCAGUCUUGACUCACUCGUGGCUAGGUGGUGAUUGCAGGUUCCCUGUUAAAUGCCACACACUCAGAGACAUUUCUGUGGAGCUCUGCUGACUUCACACUCCCAGCCCUUUGGCACAGCCUUGAUUUAUUCUGCAGAAGCACGCAGCUGGCUCGCUACCUUUGCACCGAAGCUCAUUCCCCAGAAAUACUGCUGCUCAACCUGGGCUUGACAUCAAGCUUACUACUGGAUUGUGGUGUGUUGGUUUUUUUAAACCUCCUUCCCCCCAUCUUCUCUCUCCCUGUCAGUGACAGUCACCAUCUUGGGGACCUGGCACAAGGGCCGGAGCAGCAUGACGUGCCUGAUGCAGGCAGGAAGCCAGCACAUUUUGUGUAGGUUAACUGUCCUCCUAGGCAGAGCGUGUCCCUCAGCUCAGACAUAUGCCAGCAGCCAGCCAUUCCUCCACUCCUCCUCCACU